UACAGAGGGUGCAAGCGUUAAUCGGAGUUACUGGGCGUAAAGGGCGCGUAGGCGGUUAGAUAGGUGUGAUGUGAAAGCCCUGGGCUUAACCUAGGAAGUGCAUAGCAAACCAUUUGACUAGAGUAUAGGAGAGGGUGGUGGAAUUUCCUGUGUAGCGGUGAAAUGCGUAGAUAUAGGAAGGAACACCAGUGGCGAAGGCGACCACCUGGACUGAUACUGACACUGAGGUGCGAAAGCGUGGGGAGCAAACAGG
rnacentral:rRNA from 1 species